rnacentral:lncRNA from 1 species
GCAGGCCGUGUUUUGAUUGCGUUAUAUGCUAGCAGAUAUCAGGAAAAGCCAAGGAAAAAGACGCUAAACACAAAAACAAUAUUAUCGUAUUAUAGAUUACUUUUUCAAGAUACGAAAAGCAACGCUUGCUGCGAAAAGACGCUCGAUCAGCAGUG